rnacentral:lncRNA from 1 species
CCAGCUGGCAUUGAGGUACCGUUGGAGUGAUGUACUCACAUGUGGGGUAACCAAUGGGUCGGGAAGGGUAUGAGCAAAAAUUUCUACCUGCAUCGAACAUUUUCUGGUGGAAGGGGGAUCCAGUGUAGGCUGCUAUGCGGGUGAGAUUUUCUCCCCCCCUCCUAUUUUUUAGCCAAAAAGAAGAAGUAGAAGAAGGAGGAGAAGAAGAUUAAAUAGUUCGAUUGGCUUUGCUAUCACAACAGCGUGCUCACGGCCGAGAAGUGCCCCACCUC